ensembl:lncRNA
GGAGUUCCUCCCACCCCCGCCCUCCACAGUGAGGCUGGGCUAGCACACAACCCUGAAGGCAGAGAGCUGGGAAAUGAACCGUUUCGAAGAAUCACAAGGCAACAAAUUCAACAGGAGGAACAGGAGAGAGGGGGCAUUGAGGAGUCGUUUCAAGAGGACCAGUAGCCGCUGCUUGCUGGUAUUCUGAAGAUUAAGAUUCCUGGGAUCACCGCAUGCAUUAACUACAGCUGACACACUAUGCAGACUGUUAUGCACAGCUCAUACUAGUCCUGCACAUCAAACAGCCUUGAACUUCUGUUAGUUUUCCUGCAGCUUUUCCAGUGCCAAGUCUGAAUUUGACUGCUGUAAAGAAUGAUAUGGUUUAAUGAAAACGCCUGGAUGGAUUUCCCCCUUCCCAAGCCUACUCGAUGGGUGGAUAAUCAGGCUGGCCCUGCCUGAGCAGCGGAGCAGAAACUUCACAGCUGAAGCUUCAGCUGAAGGUGGGCCUCGGGGCCUGCAGAGACAGCAGCGUCUCCAUGCCAGAAAUUCAGGACUCAAAUUGAGAAGGCCUAGAGAAACCUUCUUUCACUAGAAUGCCUUUGUGUGGAAAGCUGGAGCAGAAGACCACUUCUGCAGAACCAUUCUGUAGCUUUAUCUGUGAGUCUCUAAAAUCCUUCUCUCUUCCUGG